rfam:Schistosoma mansoni strain Puerto Rico chromosome W, complete genome
AUCCAACUCACGAGUUCUAAAUAGGAGGAAACGAGCGUCUUGAAU